GUCCACGCCCUAAACGAUGUCAACUAGUUGUCGGGUCUUAAUUGACUUGGUAACGCAGCUAACGCGUGAAGUUGACCGCCUGGGGAGUACGGUCGCAAGAUUAAAAACUCAAAGGAAUUGACGGGGACCCGCACAAGCGGUGGAUGAUGUGGAUUAAUUCGAUGCAACGCGAAAAACCUUACCUACCCUUGACAUGUACGGAACCUUUAAGAGAUUAGAGGGUGCUCGAAAGAGAACCGUAACACAGGUGCUGCAUGGCUGUCGU
rnacentral:rRNA from 1 species